UACGUAGGGGGCAAGCGUUGUCCGGAAUCAUUGGGCGUAAAGAGCGUGUAGGCGGCCUGAAAGGUCAGCUGUGAAAACUCGGGGCUCAACCCCGAGACGUCGGUUGAAACCAUCUGGCUAGAGUCCGGAAGAGGAGUGUGGAAUUCCCGGUGUAGCGGUGAAAUGCGCAGAUAUCGGGAAGAACACCCGUGGCGAAGGCGGCACUCUGGGACGGUACUGACGCUGAGACGCGAAAGCGUGGGGAGCGAACAGG
rnacentral:rRNA from 1 species